rnacentral:rRNA from 1 species
CAUGCAAGUCGAGCGAAGCUUUUCAGUAGUUUACUACAGAAAAUGACUGAGCGGCGAACGGGUGAGUAACGCGUGAGCAAUCUACCUUAGUUACAGGGAUAGCCCGAGGAAACUCGGAUUAAUACCUGAUAUUCUUUACAUUUCGCAUGAAAUUAAAAGGAAAGGUCAGCCGAACUAAGAUGAGCUCGCGUUCUAUCAGCUAGUUGGUGAGGUAAAAGCUCACCAAGGCAACGACGGAUAGCUGGUCUGAGAGGACGAUCAGCCACACUGGGACUGAGACACGGCCCAGACUCCUACGGGAGGCUGCAGCAGGGAAUAUUGUGCAAUGAACGAAAGUUUGACACAGCGACACCGCGUGUGGGAUGACGGAUCUAGGUUUGUAAACCACUUUCAGGAGGGAAGAAAAUGACGGUACCUCCACAAGAAGCCCCGGCCAACUACGUGCCAGCAGCCGCGGUAAUACGUAGGGGGCGAGCGUUGUCCGGAUUUAUUGGGCGUAAAGAGCUCGUAGGCGGUUCAACAAGUCGGUCGUGAAAGUUCAGGGCUCAACCCUGAAAUGUCGAUCGAUACUGUUGUGACUAGGAUACGGUAGAGGUGAGU